rnacentral:rRNA from 1 species
UUAACACAUGCAAGUCGAACGGAAAGGCCUCUUCGGAGGUACUCGAGUGGCGAACGGGUGAGUAACACGUGGGUGAUCUGCCCUGCACUCUGGGAUAAGCCUGGGAAACUGGGUCUAAUACCGGAUAGGACCAUGCUUUAGUGUGUGUGGUGGAAAGUUUUUUCGGUGUAGGAUGAGCCCGCGGCCUAUCAGCUUGUUGGUGGGGUAAUGGCCUACCAAGGCGGCGACGGGUAGCCGGACUGAGAGGUUGGUCGGCCACAUUGGGACUGAGAUACGGCCCAGACUCCUACGGGAGGCAGCAGUGGGGAAUAUUGCACAAUGGGCGCAAGCCUGAUGCAGCGACGCCGCGUGGGGGAUGACGGCCUUCGGGUUGUAAACUCCUUUCGCCAGGGACGAAGCGUUUUGUGACGGUACCUGGAGAAGAAGCACCGGCUAACUACGUGCCAGCAGCCGCGGUAAUACGUAGGGUGCAAGCGUUGUCCGGAAUUACUGGGCGUAAAGAGCUCGUAGGUGGUUUGUCACGCCGUCUGUGAAAUUCCACAGCUUAACUGUGGGCGUGCAGGCGAUACGGGCUGACUUGAGUACUGUAGGGGUAACUGGAAUUCCUGGUGUAGCGGUGAAAUGCGCAGAUAUCAGGAGGAACACCGAUGGCGAAGGCAGGUUACUGGGCAGUUACUGACGCUGAGGAGCGAA